rnacentral:lncRNA from 1 species
GCGAAGGAUAGUCGGCAGCGAACUUGCAAAGAAAGCUGUAGCACUACGAUGAAUUGAGAAGGGCCCUGAUCAGUCUCGUAUGAAUCACCAUUGGAGGGCUUCUACUUUGGAGUCUUGUGAAGACCUCAAGGUUAUCAGAUGCUCAGCUUCUUGCUGGUAUAUGAUCUCUGAUCUCUUCUUGUUAUGCAUACUUAAAUUAUUUGAUUGUAAUCAUCAAAGUAUUUCUAGAGCUUUUGUAUUCCGGUAGUGUAGUUUAAUUGUUAAACUUGUUUUCAAUUAUUGAAUGCAUAAAUAAAUUUUUAAAAUUUAUAUUCCGCUACGUC